GGUAAAGUUAGUUACGCAGACGAAUGUGGGCGUAAUGUUAAAGGGUAGAUGAGUCAUGUAAACGCGGAAAGAAAACAAGUUGCAUUUCUUUAUUCACACCGAAAUCCCAGUGGAUACCGUCCUAUCUAGCUAUCAAUCACACAAUAUAAUAAAAUGUCUAGCAUUAGAAAGAGAGAUUGGACAUCAGAUCAUUUACUUUUUCAAGAGAACCCCCGUGUCUUUCAUACCCAUCAAAAUAUGAUGGAUCUGAUGAAUGGACAAGCCCCAAAACACACCUUCCUGGACGCUUUACAUUAUGGCAUGUUUGGUCUUGAUUUUGUCAACCCCUUAAUGGGUCACUUUGGAGGCGAGUAUGAUGAUGAUGAUGAUGAUGAAGAGUAUUAUUAUGAUGAUGACGAUAACAAAUAUCAAGAUAAGAAACCGUAUUGUGGGUUCGCACAGAACUUUUUAGGCCAACGCCUACCAAAGCCACCGCUAAUCCCCCACCCACGUAUUAGACAACUUACUCCAGAGGAGGCUGAAAGAAACGCCAGGGACCUUAUAGAAGAAGAGAACAGACAUAAAGAAAAAGCUGAAAAGAAAAGACUUAAAAAGAUACGACAGAAGGAAAGGAAACGAGCAGAAAAAGAAAAGGAGAGAAAGAAUAAUGCAGAUGAUGAGGUGUCCAAGCCUGGAAGAUGCACGCCCUCAGAAACACAGGACCAAGGACAAGAAAGUAAAAAUGUGGAGAGGAAGGAGGGCAUCGAAGAGACCUUUGACCCGGGACCUGGUGGAGCAACCUGCAACAGGCAGCCGGAGGUGCAGGCUACUCCCUUUGUAGAGGAGACGGAGAACUGUAGUUCUGGUGGUAAUGUCGAUGAGCAGGAGCCAGAGGGAGAUGAGACCGUAGCCAGGGAGAUCGAGGGGUUGGAUAUGAGUAGCUGUUUUGUCUCUACGGCGGCUUGUAUUGCUAAACGACAGCUGCCUAAAAAGGAGAAGAAGACGAAAAAUCAGGUUAUCCAGCCAUCCCCGGAGCCCGCGCCGGACCAGUGGGAGGAGGUUGUUGUCAGGAAAAAGGAGAAACCGGUGCAGUCCAGUGUUGAAGAUGCUGUGAAGAGGAGCACAGAGCUUGCCCUCAUAGGAAACCAGCUUGCUGCAAGUGGUCAGCUAGAAUUGGCAAUCAAGUAUUUCACUGACGCUAUUAAACACAACCCUACAGAAUUUAAGCUGUUUGGGAACCGGUCGUUCUGUUAUGAGAAGCUGCAUCAAUAUGACAGGGCUCUAUGUGACGCUGAUCUGUCCUUGUCCAUGAACCCUGGCUGGAUUAAAGGUCUCUUCAGGAGAGGAAAGGCCCUGUCUGGACUCAAGAGGUAUUUUGAGGCAUGUCAGACAUAUAAGGAGGUAUUAAAGCAGGACAGUUUGUGUUCUGAUGCUGCUCGGGAACUGAUGACCAUUCAGAUCAUGCAGCUAAUGGAAAUGGGGUUUAGUCGGGAGGAGAGUACUAAUGCCCUUAUAGUCCACGGUGACAUUGAGAAAGCCAUUAAUGUCCUGUCUGGUAUUGAAGAGAGAUUUGUUAGUUAUGUCCCACCAGUGGUACCCAGUGAGACAGAGGAAUUCUGGGAGGGAGUAGGACCCAGGGCUAAACCUCCCGUCCAAUCUAAACCUCCAUCCAAACCUCCCAUCCAAACCAAACCUAAGCAAAGAUCUGCCACCCCUACACCAGGACGUGACCACUUUAUACCACAAUCCACCUGGACAGAAUCUAGAUGCCAAUCCGUUAUAAGGGUGGGCUUCACCCGGUAUAUGUGGGGGGGGUGGGUCCCAACACAACACAGUCUAUGCUGCACGAACUCUUCAGCAGUGCAGGGACUAUCUACAGUAUCAAGGUUCUUCUGGCGUCCUACUGCGCAUUUGUCAACUACACCAGCCUGGAGGCCUGCGAGAAAGCCAUCAGUACCUUGCAUGGUAAGGUUUUUAAUGGAGUGACUCUGGCUGUCCGACACCCUGACAGAGUAUUGCAGAAGAAAUUGGGUCUGUCCCAAUCACCCGCCACCAAUCCUGCCCUCACCAACCAACCGAACAAGAAUGAGGAGUGCUACUACUGGAGAACCACUGGUUGUGCCACACCCAAGGCGUGUGUGUUUCGACAUGUGCCACAACACAAAGGCAUCGACCGGGACAAGGUCAACAAAUGAAAAUGUCACACUGGGGAGUUAGCCAGCAGAUUGGCCAACACAUUACAAUUUCUGUUUUAGGAACAUUUCCUGGUAUUUUGUAAUUCAAGGAAGUGAAAAUGCUUAUCUAAGUAUCUAUUUUAUUUUUAUACAAAAAUUAUAAUUUAUGAACUGCAAAAUCUAUGGUUUCUUUUGGUUGCUUAUCUGACUUAGAUUUUUAAUUGAGGUUGCUUUGUAUCGUAGGGCUCUAGGACUGGUCCAACUACAUCGAAGAGUUAGCCAGAAAAUUGUCCAAUAUAUAGACUGAAAACACUGAUAGACAGUAAGUGCCUUGAUAGCAGAAAGGUAACACACACACAUUAAAUGUGUGCUGGCUAAAUAAUAGAACCUCACUAAAACUGUUUUACUGCAGGCUUUAAAUAAUCUUUACCUGUGUAGAGGUGAAAAGGCUAAAGCUUCAAGCACCUUAUCAAUGGGAACCUGUUUUUACAGGCUCCUAACCUGACCAAUUGUUAUAGAAAGCCUUACCUGUAUUGAGAUGCCUGUAUCUCAGAAAAAAAGAAAGCCUUACCUGUAUUGAGAUGCUUUAGUGUUGUUGUCCAACUACAUUUCUCUGCACUUUAGUAGUACAGUGAAGGGUGGAGUAGCUGAUUAUGAAAGACUACCAGGUGGCUGUAGCUUUCAGUGUUUCUGAUUUCGCCUUGAAAUGCACUAUUUUAAAGUCUUAAUCCCUUGGCCCGAAGAAAAUGUAUAAGAUAUAUAAGAAUAUAUAAUUAUGCUAAUAGCAGAACUGGUUGAAUGUAAGCACAACACAUUGCUCUUUCAUAUAAACUGGACAAGGUAAUAAUGUUUAUCAUCUGUUUUGUCAUUACUGUCCUAAUGUUUCUUUUUCUACUGAAAAGAUUUUCUGUUUGUAGUUCCAAAUGUUUCAACCUUUGCUUUUUUGUGAAAUAUACAAUUGUUCUUUAAUCUGGUUAUUAUGUGUGACUAACCACCAGAAGGCAGUGUUUAGUUCUUCAGUCUUUUGUUCAUAUACCUACCGUACUAUGACUAAACCUUCAGUUACAGUUAAAACAUCUUGAAAAUGAUCAUUAUGAUUAAACCUUUUAAACAAU